UAAAUGAUGAGGACUCUUCGGUGUC
rnacentral:piRNA from 1 species